rnacentral:rRNA from 1 species
CAAGAGCGUAUGUAAAAGUUGUUGCAGUUAAAAAGCUCGUAGUUGAACCUUGGGUUUGGUUGGCCGGUCCGCUUUUUUGCGAGUACUGGAUUCAACCGAGCCUUUCCUUCUGGCUAACCAGUCGUUUCGGCGGCUGGCGAACCAGGAUUUUUACUUUGAGAAAAUUAGAGUGUUCAAAGCAGGCAUUAGCUUGAAUAUAUUAGCAUGGAAUAAUAGAAUAGGACGUUAUGGUUCUAUUUUGUUGGUUUCUAGGACCAUCGUAAUGAUUAAUAGGGACGGUCGGGGGCAUCAGUAUUCAGUUGUCAGAGGUGAAAUUCUUGGAUUUACUGAAGACUGACUACUGCGAAAGCAUUUGCCAAGGACGUUUUCAUUAA